UGCGGGAUCGUCUAAAGGUAGGACAGCGGGUUUUGGCCCCGCUAAUCGAGGUUCAAAUCCUUGUCCCGCAG
rnacentral:tRNA from 1 species